rnacentral:rRNA from 1 species
UGCAAGUCGAACGGUGAAAGAGAGCUUGCUCUCUGGAUCAGUGGCGAACGGGUGAGUAACACGUGAGCAAUCUGCCCCUGACUCUGGGAUAACAGUUGGAAACAGCUGCUAAUACCGGAUACGAGCUUCGAAGGCAUCUUCAGAAGCUGGAAAGAACUUCGGUCAGGGAUGAGCUCGCGGCCUAUCAGCUAGUUGGUGAGGUAAUGGCUCACCAAGGCGUCGACGGGUAGCCGGCCUGAGAGGGUGACCGGCCACACUGGGACUGAGACACGGCCCAGACUCCUACGGGAGGCAGCAGUGGGGAAUAUUGCACAAUGGGCGCAAGCCUGAUGCAGCAACGCCGCGUGAGGGACGACGGCCUUCGGGUUGUAAACCUCUUUUAGCAGGGAAGAAGCGAAAGUGACGGUACCUGCAGAAAAAGCGCCGGCUAACUACGUGCCAGCAGCCGCGGUAAUACGUAGGGCGCAAGCGUUAUCCGGAAUUAUUGGGCGUAAAGAGCUCGUAGGCGGUUUGUCGCGUCUGCUGUGAAAACUGGAGGCUCAACCUCCAGCCUGCAGUGGGUACGGGCAGACUAGAGUGCGGUAGGGGAGAUUGGAAUUCCUGGUGUAGCGGUGGAAUGCGCAGAUAUCAGGAGGAACACCGAUGGCGAAGGCAGAUCUCUGGGCCGUAACUGACGCUGAGGAGCGAAAGGGUGGGGAGCAAACAGGCUU